GACCGCGUAGCUCAGUUGGCAGAGCAUUGGGCUAGUAUUCCAAAGGUCGUGGGUUCGAAUCCCACCGUGGCCA
rnacentral:tRNA from 1 species